UCCGGCUUAUCACCGGCAGUCCCCUUAGAGUGCCCAACUUAAUGCUGGCAACUAAAAACAGGGGUUGCGCUCGUUGAGGGACUUAACCCGACAUGCCACCACACGAGCUGACGACAGCCAUGCAGCACCUGUCUCUUUGUCGUAUUGCUACGAAAGCUACAUCUCUGUAGUUAUCAAAGGAUGUCAAACCCAGGUAAGGUUCUGCGCGUUGCUUCGAAUUAAACCACAUAAUCCACCGCUUGUGCGGGCUCCCGUCAAUUCCUUUGAGUUUUAGUCUUGCGACCGUACUUCCCAGGCGGGGUACUUAUCGCGUUAGCUCCGGAUCGGCAGGGGUCAAAACCCACCAAUCCUAGUACCCAUCGUUUACAGCGUGGACUAC
rnacentral:misc_RNA from 1 species